AGGGAAUCUUCCACAAUGGACGCAAGUCUGAUGGAGCAACGCCGCGUGAGCGAAGAAGGUCUUCGGAUCGUAAAACUCUGUUGUUAGAGAAGAACACGGGUGAGAGUAACUGUUCACCUGUUGACGGUAUCUAACCAGCAAGUCACGGCUAACUACGUGCCAGCAGCCGCGGUAAUACGUAGGUGGCAAGCGUUAUCCGGAUUUAUUGGGCGUAAAGGGAACGCAGGCGGUUCUUUAAGUCUGAUGUGAAAGCCUUCGGCUUAACCGAAGAUGUGCAUUGGAAACUGGGGAACUUGAGUGCAGAAGAGGAGAGUGGAGCUCCAUGUGUAGCGGUGAAAUGCGUAGAUAUAUGGAAGAACACCAGUGGCGAAAGCGGCUCUCUGGUCUGUAACUGACGCUGAGGUGCGAAAGCGUGGGUAGCGAAC
rnacentral:rRNA from 1 species